rnacentral:rRNA from 1 species
GCCUACGGGGGGCAGCAGUGAGGAAUAUUGGUCAAUGGGAGAGAUCCUGAACCAGCCAAGCCGCGUGAGGGAAGACGGCCCUAUGGGUUGUAAACCUCUUUUGUCGGAGAACAAAACCCGGGACGUGUCCCGGACUGCGUGUAUCCGAAGAAAAAGCAUCGGCUAACUCCGUGCCAGCAGCCGCGGUAAUACGGAGGAUGCGAGCGUUAUCCGGAUUUAUUGGGUUUAAAGGGUGCGUAGGCGGACUGGAAAGUCAGCGGUAAAAUCGAGAGGCUCAACCUCUUUCCGCCGUUGAAACUGCCGGU